UACGUAGGCAGCAAGCGUUGUUCGGAGUUACUGGGCGUAAAGGGUGUGUAGGCGGUCCCUUAAGUUUGUCGUGAAAUCUCCCGGCUCAACUGGGAGGGUGCGGCGAAUACUGAGGGGCUAGAGUGCGGGAGAGGAAAGUGGAAUUCCUGGUGUAGCGGUGAAAUGCGUAGAUAUCAGGAGGAACACCGGUGGUGUAAACGGCUUUCUGGACCGUAACUGACGCUGAGACACGAAAGCGUGGGUAGCAAACAGG
rnacentral:rRNA from 1 species